rnacentral:rRNA from 2 species
AGGAUGAGCGGCGGACGGGUGAGUAACACGUAAAGAACCUGCCCUCAGGUCUGGGAUAACCACGAGAAAUCGGGGCUAAUACCGGAUGGGUCAUCGGACCGCAUGGUCCGAGGAUGAAAGGCGCUCCGGCGUCGCCUGGGGAUGGCUUUGCGGUGCAUUAGCUAGUUGGUGGGGUAAUGGCCCACCAAGGCGACGAUGCAUAGCCGACCUGAGAGGGUGAUCGGCCACACUGGGACUGAGACACGGCCCAGACUCCUACGGGAGGCAGCAGUAGGGAAUCUUCCACAAUGGACGAAAGUCUGAUGGAGCAACGCCGCGUGAACGAUGAAGGCCUUCGGGUCGUAAAGUUCUGUUGUAAGGGAAGAACAAGUGCCGCAGGCAAUGGCGG